rnacentral:tRNA from 1 species
GUCAAAGUGGCAAAGUGGUCUAAGGCGCCAGAUUUGAGCUCUGGUUCUCUAAUGGGAAGCGUGGGUUUGAACCCCACACUUGACA